rnacentral:rRNA from 1 species
AGGCAGCAGAGGGAAAGGACAAGGGCGAAAGCCGACCAGCAAGCCGCGGAGGAGAAGGCCAGGGGAAUGCCCACCCGGGAGAAAGACAGACCGGGAGAAAAGCCCCGGCAACCC